CUUUCUGUGACGUAAAUCUCGACUUAAAAUCGGCGAUUUUUUAAACCUGGUCUGGAGGUGGUUUAACUCGGUUUGUCGAGUGCAUUUGGAUUGCGGCGCUUGUCGUGUUGGAUGUUAUCGCUUACCGUACAAUCUAUAUUGUAUUCUGGGGCGACAAAAGGAGUAGCAGGGAGCUCUGUACAAGCGUCACGACGAAUAAAUAAUUGUAUACCUGUACCACGAGGCUGCGAUAUGUAGCAUUUGCGGUGGUACCUGUGCUGUACCUAUUACCUACCGUACUACGCCCGAACAAAAUUAUUUACAACGUGGAAUUGGACUAUACUAUAAUAAAUCUAGUAAGGUAAAUACAUACCCAGCGUAUUGAUACAUUUCUGUAUUUGCGUUUUUUAAUUUUCUUAGCAGUUUUUGUGAAGAUUUAUUUUAGCUUGGAUUGUAGACUACAGUUAUACCAGUAGCCUAUUGCUAUAUGGGUUCUUGUCAUAAACAGACAUAGGGCCCAGUAUUUUAGUAUAGUUUCGUUGAUAAGCAGUUGCGCAGUGGUACCGUCGAACAGAUACUCCUAGUCCUAAUACAGUAAUAUAAACUUCAAAAUGUUUUAACAAAAAUGAUAUAUUUUCAGAUAUUUAGAUCUACCAGUGCCCAAAAGAUUCCUUUUAAUUAUAUUUUGUGUAUGAGCAGAACUGAGAUUUACCUACGAUAUCCAUGUAUCACUACUGCACUGUGCCCCGGUGUAUGUAUCUUGUCAUCGGCUAAUUCACAAGUCUGCAAGUUCCCGAAGUAGAUAGCAGAAGGUUGACUGGAUAUUUUGAUGUACACCAAUGUAAAAAUCAUAUUGCAUGUUAUUGGUAUGCUGUUUGCACAGAUCUGUUUCAAAUCAAGUAAACUGUCUGAGUGCCAUGAUGAUGAUCAAUUUCAUCAGCUCUAUUGAAAGAGCAAAUUUGUCAUGAAGACAAACAACUGUUAUGGAUAGGAUUAUAGUAAAAGUGUUGUCAAGGUUGCAGCAGUGCUUUAUUUUACGACUUUGUGUCCAACAAAUAUGUGAAACCCGGUUAACUUAAGCUUAACAAACAAAUAUCUUGCAUGCUAAAACAUUUGAAGCAAACGUAGUUAUGUCGAUUUUUCGUCACUCGGCGAGUCUUUCGCAAAAGAAAUAAAUAAAACUUUUAAAUAGCAACGAAAGCAACAACUAUGAUUGCACCUGUGUCUGUGUGCAUCUGUCUCAAAGCUGUAGAGCCAGGAUAAAAUUUAGCACCUCUUCCGAAUUGAUUCUAUACUUUUUCCAUUUCUUGAAUGU